rnacentral:lncRNA from 1 species
UCAUCCAUCAUCCCACUGCCAAAGGACAACUAUCCUUAACAUUUGUAUAUUUACCGUUUAGUCUAUUUUCUAUACUAAAAUAGAUAGGUGUAUAUAACAUAUAUAACUUGAAUCAUAGUAAGCCUAUUGUUUCAUAAGAUUCAUUCCAUUAAAAAAUAAGUCAAUAAGCUAUUUUGUGGAUUACUAUCUUAUAACAGAAAUGUAAUGGCAGCAGGAUGAUCCACAUGACAAGGGUGAGGAGAAGUUACUUUUACAAAAUGUUUCUAUUUUUCUCCCACCUCUUGCUGUGUGGCCCAAUUCCAAAUGGGCCAUGGACCAGUACCAAGGGUUGGGGAUCCCUGCCGUACAUUAUUUAAAAAACAAAAACAUAAAAAUAAUUAUAGAUCUAUGCUAUUGGGCAUAAAAUGUAUAAAGAUAUAAUACAUCACAACAGCAACAUAAAGAGAACAAAGUUUUUUUUAUUAUUAU